rnacentral:rRNA from 1 species
CCUACGGGUGGCAGCAGUGAGGAAUAUUGGUCAAUGGACGAGAGUCUGAACCAGCCAAGUAGCGUGAAGGAUGACUGCCCUAUGGGUUGUAAACUUCUUUUAUAUGGGACUAAAUGGUUCCACGUGUCGGAUUUUGUAUGUACCAUAUGAAGACGGCUCUGCUAACUCCGUGCCAGCAGCCGCGGUAAUACGGAGGCUCCUAGCGUUAUCCGUAUUUAUUGGGAUUAAAAGGUGCGUAGGUGGAUUGUUAAGUCAGUUUUGAAAGCUUGCGGCUCAACCGUAAAAUUGCAGUUGAAACUGGUAGUCUUGAGUGUGGUAGAGGUAGGCGGAAUUCGUGGUGUAGGGGUGAAAUGCUUAGAGAUCACGAAGAAUUCUGAUUGCGAAGGCAGUUCACUGGACUGCAACUGACACUGAGGCUCGAAAGUGUGGGUAUCAAACAGGAUUAGAUACCCUAGUAGUC